rnacentral:rRNA from 1 species
CAAUAGCGUAUAUUGAAGUUGUUGCAGUUAAAAAGCUCGUAGUUGAAGAUACGAACGCUUACACUAGAACAAAGUUUCCGGUGUCUGCGUUCACUUUUCGCAAAGACAGCCUGGCCCAUUAGUUUGGGUCUUGUUUGAGUUGCGUCAUUUACUGUGAACAAAUUAGGGUGUUUAAAGCAGGCCUACGUUUGAAUACACUAGCAUGGAAUAAUAAGAUAUGAUCUUGGUCGUAUUUUGUUGGUGACUACCAAGAUAAUGAUUGAUAGAAACUGUUGUGGGUAUUCGUAUGAGCAUGUCAGAGGUGAAAUUCUUGGAUUUUGAUCAGACGAACUACUGCGAAAGUAUUUACCAAGGAUGUUUUCAUUAA